rnacentral:rRNA from 1 species
AUACGGAGGGUGCGAGCGUUGUUCGGAAUUAUUGGGCGUAAAGAGCAUGUAGGCGGUCUGUUAAGUCUGGUGUGAAAGCCCGGGGCUCAACCCCGGAAGUGCAUUGGAUACUGGCAGACUUGAGUAUGGGAGAGGAAAGCGGAAUUUCGAGUGUAGGAGUGAAAUCCGUAGAUAUUCGGAGGAACACCAGUGGCGAAGGCGGCUUUCUGGACCAAUACUGACGCUGAGAUGCGAAAGCGUGGGGAGCGAACAGGAUUAGAUACCCUAGUAGUCC